AAGAAAUGAUGGAGAAUGGCAUGACCUUCAGUGCGAUGGUAAUGGUGGAAAUUAUGGAUGUGAUCUCAACAACACUGAGCAAAGUCGCCAUGUCCAAAGGAAUGAACAACUUGGUUUUUGCUGUUUAUUCUAACACUCUUGCCACUUUCCUUCUUCUUCCCUUUCUCUGCUUCUCUCCAUCCAGAGAUAAACAGACGGCCCCUCUAUCUUUCUCUAUGAUCCUUGCAUUCUUU
rnacentral:misc_RNA from 1 species